UGCUUAGCUCAGCUGGUAGAGCGGCGCCCUUACAAGGCGUAGGUCGGGGGUUCGAACCCCUCAGCA
rnacentral:tRNA from 2 species